AUGGUGCCACACUCACAAUCCCUCAUCCUCCUCGUGCUCUGGGUCUCAGGUGUCUGUGGAGACAUUGUGAUGACCCAGACUCCAGGCUCUCUGGCUGCGUCUGUAGGAGACACGGUCACCAUCAACUGCAAGUCCAGCCAGAGUCUUUUAUACAGCUCCAACCAGAAGAACUACUUAUCCUGGCACCAGCAGAAACCAGGACAGGCUCCUAAGCUCCUCAUCUACUUUGCAUCCACCAGGGGUACAGGGGUCCCUGACCGAUUCACUGGCAGUGGAUCUGGGACAGAUUUCACUCUCACCAUCAGCAGGUUCCAGGCUGAAGAUGCAGCAGUUUAUUACUGUCAGCAGUAUAUAAGUACUCCUCCCACAGUGCUUCAGCCUCGAACAAAAACCUCCUCCCCAGAACCGUGAGUCAGAAAGUCUUUGCUGCACCAGCUGCUUCUCUC